rnacentral:rRNA from 1 species
CAGCAGCCGCGGUAAAACCAGCACCUCGAGUGGUCAGGAGGUUUAUUGGGCCUAAAGCAUCCGUAGCCGGUUGCAUAAGUUUUCGGUUAAAUCUAUGCGCUUAACGUAUAGGCCGCCGAAAAUACUGUGCAGCUAGGGAGUGGGAGAGGUACACGGUACUCGAUAGGAAGGGGUAAAAUCCUUUGAUCUAUUGAUGACCACCUGUGGCGAAGGCGGUGUACCAGAACACGUUCGACGGUGAGGGAUGAAAGCUGGGGGAGCAAACCGGAUUAGAUACCCCAGUAGUCCCUGUCUCUUAUAC